GCUUGCAGCUGCCUCCUGUUUCAGCCCUACGCUCCUGGAGCUGCCAGAGGCUCGCGGAUCUCGGAACGCAUCCCACCGCUGAGGCUGCCGCCGUGGCAUGGGCACCGCGGGUCUGCUCUGGGUUUUCUUGGCUCUCCUCACGCCUAGGGUCCUCGGUCAGUGUAAGUUCCUGCCAAGGUAUCCUUUUGCUAAGCCAAAAGUUCAGAGUAAUCAGUCUGAGUUUGCUAUUGGGACAUCUUUGGAAUAUGAAUGCCUUCCUGGGUAUAGCAAAAGGUCAUUCUCUGCCACCUGCCUAGAGACCUCCGAGUGGUCAGAUGCUCAGCAAUACUGUAAACGUAAAUCAUGUGUAAGUCCUGGAGAACUCCUCCAUGGCUCUGUCCUCAUACACAUGAAUAUCGAAUUUGGGGCUACAAUUACAUAUUCUUGUGACAAAGGAUACCGACUCAUUGGUGACUCAUCUGCUACAUGUAUUAUCUCAGGCAAUACUGUAACCUGGGAUAAGGACAUGCCUUUAUGUGAAUCUAUUCCUUGUGAGGCACCCCCAGAAAUCUCCAAUGGGGACUUUUCUAGCAGCAGUAGAGAGAAUUUUUACUAUGGAAUGGUGGUGACUUAUCAGUGCGAUGUUGGACAGAAUGGGGAAAAGCUGUUUGACCUUGUGGGUGAGAAGUCAAUAUAUUGCACCAGCAAAGACAAUCAAGUUGGCAUCUGGAGUGGCCCUCCUCCUCAGUGUAUUGAUCUAGUCAAAUGCCCAAUUCCAGAAGUUGAAAAUGGAAUUAUAGAAUUUGGAUAUAGACGUUCAUUUUCCUUAAAUGAUACUUUGAUGUUUAAGUGUAAGCCUGGCUUUACCAUGAAAGGCAGCAACACAGUAUGGUGCCAACCAAACAGUAAAUGGGAUCCUCCACUGCCAAGGUGCUUCAAGGGGUGUCUACCACCUCCACAUAUUCACCAUGGUAAUUAUAACAAAAUGGAUAAGGAAUUCUUUGCAAUUGGACAGAAAGUGUCCUACAGCUGUGAGCCUGGCUACAGUCUCAUUGGAGCUAAUGCUAUGCAGUGUACAUCCUUGGGAACCUGGAGCCAUACAGCCCCCAAAUGUGAAGUGGACUCAUGUGAUGCCAUUCCAAACCAAUUUCUCAACGGCCAGGUGGUGGCUCCUCCUAAUCUCCAUCCUGGGGCAGAGGUUUCUUUUGUUUGUAAUGAGGGGUACCGGUUAAGUGGCAAAUCUUCUAGUCAGUGUGUCUCAGAAGGGAUGAGAGUACGCUGGAAUAAUAAGUUUCCCAUCUGUGAACGGAUUUCUUGUGACCGUCCUCCUGAAAUAAAAAAUGGUCAUACCAGUUAUGUUUCUGUCCCUGUACCUAUUAAUACUGUCGUGAGGUACAAGUGUUUGCCUAACUACCGCCUCAUUGGAGAAAGAAGCCUUUUUUGUAUUAGUAGAGACCAAGUGAAAGGAACCUGGGAUAAAGAUGCUCCUAUAUGUGAAUAUUUCAACAGGCGGUCUACUUGCCCUGAGCCCAUAGUACCAGGGGGACACAAAAAUAAAAUAUCUAGGCCACCAUACAGACAUGGUGAUUCUGUAACAUUUACCUGUAACACCAACUUCACCAUGAAAGGAAACAAGACUGUUUGGUGCCGAGCAAAUACGAAAUGGGGACCAACACCACUACCAAUUUGUGAGAGUGAUUUCCCCCUGGAGUGUCCACGACUUCCCAUGGUCCCCCACGGAAAUCACACAGGAAACAAUGUUGGCCCCUUUGUCCCUGGAUCGUCUGUGAAUUACCACUGUGAACCCGGUUACUUGCUUGUUGGUGAAAAAACCAUUCGUUGUUUGUCUUCAGGAGACUGGAGUGCUGUCUUUCCAAAAUGUGAAGAAGCACGGUGUGCACCUUCAAGACCAUUACUCAAUGGGAAGAUAAAGGAGCCUUCAAGUCUUCAGGUUGGCGUAACUGUGAGCUUUUCCUGUAAUGAAGGGUAUAAAUUAGAAGGCCCAUCUUUUAGUCAGUGUGUAAUUGUUGGACAGAGUGCUGUAUGGACCAAGAUGCCAGUGUGUAAAGAAAUUCUUUGCCCACCACCUCCUUCUAUUCUCAAUGGAAGACAUACAGGCAACCCUUCAAUGAACAUUCCAUAUGGGAGCACAGUCACUUACACCUGUGACCCGGGCCCAGAGGAAGGAGUGGACUUCAUCCUGACUGGGGAGAGCACGAUCCGUUGUACCAAUGAUAGUCAGCAGACUGGGACCUGGAGUGGCCCUGCCCCACGCUGCAAACUUUCUAUUUCUGGGAUUCGCUGCCCACCUCCUCAGAUCCUUAGUGGCCAAAUACUGUCUGGGCAGAAAGAUCAAUAUUCAUAUAACAACACUGUGGUAUUUGCUUGCUCAUUUGGCUUCACCUUGAAAGGUAGGAAGGAAAUACGAUGUAAUGGCCAAGGCAUCUGGGAGCCAUCCCCACCAGUCUGUGAAAAGGAGUGUCAAGCUCCUCCUAAAAUCCUCAACGGGCACAAGGAAGAUGGACACAGAAUCCUCUUCAAACCUGGAACAUCUAUAAAAUAUAGAUGUGACCCUGGCUAUGUGCUGGUGGGAGAAGAAUCCAUACUUUGUACCUCUGUGGGGGUGUGGACACCCACUGCCCCCAAGUGCAAAGUGGCAGAGUGUGAACCUAUAGGAAAACAUCUCUAUAGAAAACCCCAGGCUCAAUUUAUUAGACCAGAUGUUAAUUCUUCUUGCGACGAAGGGUACCGGUUAGGUGAGAGUGUUUAUCAGCUUUGUCAAGGCAUGAUUCCUUGGUUUAUGGAGAUUCGUCUUUGUAAAGAAAUCACCUGUCCACCGCCCCCUGUUACCUACAAUGGGAGUCACACAGGCAGUUCCUCAGAAGACAUGCUGUAUGGAACCACAGUCACUUAUACAUGUAACCCUGGGCCUGAGAAAGGAGUAGAAUUCAGCCUCAUUGGAGAAAACACCAUCCACUGUAUAAGCAACAGUGAAGAGAGAGGCAUCUGGAGUGGCCCUGCUCCUCUGUGUAAACUUUCCCUCCCUGCUGUUUGGUGCUCAUAUGCCAGCAUUGCAAAUGGACACAAGAUAUCUGGCAAGGAAGCCCCAUAUUUCUACAAUGACAGUGUGACAUACGAGUGUGAUGAUGGAUUUACUUUGAAGGGCAGCAGUCAGAUUCGCUGCAAAGCCAAUAACACCUGGGAUCCUGAAAUACCCAUGUGUGAAAAAGACUGCCAGCCGCCUUCUGGGCUCCUCCAUGGUCAGCACACAGGUGGAAACAGGGUCCUCUUUGUCUCUGGGAUGACUGUAGACUACACCUGUGACCCUGGCUACUUGCUUGUGGGCAACAAAUCCAUUCAGUGUAUGUCUUCAGGAAAUUGGAGUCCUUCUGCCCCUCGGUGUGAAGAGGCACCAUGUCAGCCUGUGGGAGAAGAUGUUCAAGAGCUUCCAGGUGAUUUCCCUGUGAUUCCAGUUAAUACAUCCUGUCAUGACGGGUACCAGCUGACUGGACAUUCUUAUCGGAAGUGUCAAGAUGGUGAGAAUGGGGUUUGGUUCCAAAAGAUUCCACACUGUAAAGCUAUUCACUGCCCACCUCCACCAGUGACUGACAAUGGGAGGCACACCGGUGUGAUGGCAGAACACUUUCUGUAUGGAACUGAAAUCUCUUAUGAAUGUGACCAAGGAUUCUCUCUUCUGGGAGAGAAAACUAUACGAUGCAUAAGUGAUUCUAAAGGACAUGGAUCUUGGAAUAGACCACCCCCACAGUGCUUAAAACCUCAUCCUGUGACCCAUUGCUCUAACCCAGAAGUCAAACAUGGAUACAUACUUAAUAAAACUCACUCAUCAUAUUCCCACAAUGACAUUGUGUAUGUUGCCUGCAACCCUGGCUUCAUCAUAAAUGGCAGUGAGCUGAUUAAGUGUCAUACCAAUAACAAAUGGGUGCCAGGUGUACCAACUUGUAUCAAAAUGGCCCUCAUAGGAUGUCAACCUCCAUUUAAGAUCCCCAAUGGGAAUCACACUGGUGGAGAUACAGCUCGAUUUUAUGCUGGAAGGUCAGUCCUGUACAGCUGUGAUGAAGGCUACCUGCUGGUGGGAGACGCACGUCUUUAUUGCACACGUGAGGGAACAUGGAGUCACCCUGCCCCUUUUUGUAAAGAGGUAAACUGUAGCUUCCCAGAGUAUAUGAAUGGAAUGCAGAAGGGGCUGGAGUCUGGGAAAAAGUAUCAGUAUGGUGCAAUUGUUACUUUGGAGUGUGAAGAAGGGUAUACCCUGGAAGGCAGUCCCCAGAGCCAGUGCCAGGAGGAUCAUGGAUGGAACCCUCCCCUGGCUGUUUGCAGAUCACAAGGCUCACUUGCUCCUCUUCUUAGUGGUCUUUCUGCAGGUUUUGUGAUUCUUAUCUGCUUGAUGUGUGUCGUCUUACACAUGAUAUUAAAAUACAGAGUACACAAUUAUUAUACAAAUAAAAGCCCUACAAAAGAAGAUCUUCAUUUAGAAACGCGAGAAGUCUAUUCUAUUGAUCCAUACAACCCAGCAAGCUAACCAGAAGAUAAACUGCCCUGAUACAUCACUGAAAGUUGAGUAUUGUCCCAAGAUAAUACCAAGUGUGCCUUCUUGCUUGGAAUCCAACUGAAUGUGGAUUGGAAAGAAAGCAUUUGAACAUCAGCAAGUAAUGAGUACAAUAUGAAUGAAACAAUUUCAUAAGCUAUUUCUUCCUAUUUGCACUUAUUUUGAAGCAAAACAAAGAAAGUUUGCUUGAUGGUAAAGAUGGGAGCCUGGUUUCACUGCCACCUGCUCUUCAAGGUGUUUUUGAAGCAUCAUCUGUGAUGUGCCUGGAGCCAGGCUGGGGCUGUAAUCAAUUAUGUAGCUCUGAAAGUGUCACCGUUUUAAGGAAGGCACUAAAAUGAACUGUCCUUCUAUGUACACUCUUCUUUUUGUAAUUAGCAUGCUUACUGUUACCAUAUACUUUUGGUUAUGGUGUGGUUUUAAUUUCCUGUGGCUAGUAUGGGCAUACCUUUGUUGGGAAGUCUGAUUUUAUUUUAAUAUGGUUAAACAUAUAUUUUCAGAUAUGGUUAAACAUUUCACUUCUAUUUCCACUUGGUUUGAAUUUUUCUCAUAUUGCCUUUGGUUAUUGGGUAUUUGGCAAAGUGUAUUGGCUUAUUUGUUACCUUUCCAUAAUCACUCAGUAAUUAUAAUUUGCACAAUUUUUUAAGUUAUAGAAGUCAAGUUUCAAUUCUAACAUUUUUGUAUGCAAUCAAUCUGUAGAUAUUUCCUUGGCAGUUUUGUCAGAAGCUCUAGUUGCUUGUAAAAUGUCACUUGAUAAUAUGUACAUUAGUUAUUCAAAUAAAUUUUAUCUUAAAAAACA